UGCAAGUCGAACGAUGAAGGAGGAGCUUGCUCCUCUGGAUUAGUGGCGAACGGGUGAGUAACACGUGAGCAAUCUGCCCCUGACUCUGGGAUAAGCGUUGGAAACGACGUCUAAUACCGGAUACGAGCUGAGAAGGCAUCUUCAGCAGCUGGAAAGAACUUCGGUCAGGGAUGAGCUCGCGGCCUAUCAGGUAGUUGGUGAGGUAACGGCUCACCAAGCCUACGACGGGUAGCCGGCCUGAGAGGGUGACCGGCCACACUGGGACUGAGACACGGCCCAGACUCCUACGGGAGGCAGCAGUGGGGAAUAUUGCACAAUGGGCGAAAGCCUGAUGCAGCAACGCCGCGUGAGGGACGAAGGCCUUCGGGUCGUAAACCUCUUUUAGCAGGGAAGAAGCGAAAGUGACGGUACCUGCAGAAAAAGCACCGGCUAACUACGUGCCAGCAGCCGCGGUAAUACGUAGGGUGCGAGCGUUAUCCGGAAUUAUUGGGCGUAAAGAGCUCGUAGGCGGUCUGUCGCGUCUGCUGUGAAAUCCCGAGGCUCAACCUCGGGCUUGCAGUGGGUACGGGCAGACUAGAGUGCGGUAGGGGAGAUUGGAAUUCCUGGUGUAGCGGUGGAAUGCGCAGAUAUCAGGAGGAACACCGAUGGCGAAGGCAGAUCUCUGGGCCGUUACUGACGCUGAGGAGCGAAAGCGUGGGGAGCAAACAGGCUUAGAUACCCUGGUAGUCCACGCCGUAAACGUUGGGAACUAGAUGUGGGGACCAUUCCACGGUCUCCGUGUCGUAGCUAACGCAUUAAGUUCCCCGCCUGGGGAGUACGGCCGCAAGGCUAAACUCAAAGGAAUUGACGGGGGCCCGCACAAGCGGCGGAGCAUG
rnacentral:rRNA from 1 species